rnacentral:rRNA from 1 species
UACGUAGGUGGCAAGCGUUGUUCGGAAUUAUUGGGCGUAAAGGGCGCGUAGGCGGUUCGUUAAGUCAGGUGUGAAAUCCCGGGGCUCAACUCCGGGGCCGCAGGUGAGACUGUGUGGCUAGAGCAUGGUAGAGGCGAGUGGAAUUCCCGGUGUAGCGGUGGAAUGCGUAGAUAUCGGGAAGAACACCGGUGGCGAAGGCGGCUAUCUGGACAGAAACUGACGCUGAGGCGCGAAAGCUAGGGGAGCAAACAGG